AAGGAGAGGAAUCAUAUACAUGUUCUCUAGGCCUUUUAGAAAACAUGGAGUUGUUCCUUUGGCCACAUAUAUGUGAAUCUACAAGAAGGGUGAUAUUGUAGACAUCAAGGGAAUGGGUACUGUUCAAAAAGGAAUGCCCCACAAAUGUUAUCAUGGCAAAACUGGGAGAGUCUACAAUGGUACCCAGAAUGCUGUUGGCAUUGUUGUGGAUAAGCACGUUAA
rnacentral:lncRNA from 1 species